rnacentral:rRNA from 1 species
UUUUCUUAUCUUAGUGGCGGACGGGUGAGUAACGCGUGGAUAACCUGGCCCAUACAGGGGGAUAGCAGCUGGAAACGGCUGGUAAUACCGCAUAAGCGCACGGUACGGCAUCGUACGGUGUGAAAAACUCCGGUGGUAUGGGAUGGGUCCGCGUCUGAUUAGGCAGUUGGCGGGGUAAAGGCCCACCAAACCGACGAUCAGUAGCCGGCCUGAGAGGGUGGGCGGCCACAUUGGGACUGAGACACGGCCCAAACUCCUACGGGAGGCAGCAG